rnacentral:lncRNA from 1 species
CCCAGAUCCAAGAGGAUUAAUAUCCUUAUAAGAAUAGACACCAGAUCUCUCUCUCUCUCUCUCUCCCUCUAUGUGUGUGUGUGAGCACGCACGUGUACAGAAAGGCCAUUUGAGCACACAGCAAGAAGGCAACUGUCUACAAGCCAGGAAGAGAGCCUUCACUAGAUACUGACCAUGCUGACAUCUUGAUCUUGGACUUCCCAGACUCCAGAACUGCACACAUCAAGGAAAGGCUGUGUGAGGACACAGGGAGAAAGCAUCAUCUACAAACCAGGAAGAGAGCCCUUACUAGAAACCUAAC